rnacentral:misc_RNA from 1 species
AACGCACGAGACCUGCGGACCUGCGGAAGGAUCAUUACCGAGUUUACAACUCCCAAACCCAAUGUGAACGUUACCAAACUGUUGCCUCGGCGGGAUCUCUGCCCCGGGUGCGUCGCAGCCCCGGACCAAGGCGCCCGCCGGAGGACCAACCAAAACUCUUUUGUAUACCCCCUCGCGGGUUUUUAUAUCUGAGCCAUCUCGGCGCCUCUCGUAGGCGGUUCGAAAAUGAAUCAAAACUUU